CAGUUUUACAACUCUUUUAGAAUGUGUCUAGUAGGUUUUCUGCUCUUUACCAGAAACCCUCU
ensembl:snRNA U7 U7 small nuclear RNA